GACGAACGCUGGCGGCGUGCCUAAUACAUGCAAGUAGGACGCAGUUGCGAACGGGUGAGUAACGCGUAGGUAACUGCCUAUUAGAGGGGGAUAACUAUUGGAAACGAUAGCUAAUACCGCAUACUAGUAGAUGGAGCUGCGUUGUAUUAGCUAGUAGGUCGGGUAAUGGCCUACCUAGGCAAAGUUACCUAACCGACCUGGGAGUGUGGUCGGCCACACUGGGACUGAGACACGGCCCAGACUCCUACGGGAGGCAGCAGGAGGGAAUCUUCGGCAAUGGGGGGAACCCUGGCCGAGCAACGCCGCGUGGGUGAAGAAGGUGUUCGGAUCGUAAAGCUCUGUUGUUAAGGAAGCGGUACUUAACCAGAAAGGGACGGCUAACUACGUGCCAGCAGCCGCGGUAAUAC
rnacentral:rRNA from 1 species